GCUUAGACUGCAGCCGGCCUAGAAACGCACACACAGUAACAGCUAGCAUAGAAAGACCCGACAGGCUUUCAACUCCAAGAGCUGGGAGUGACUUUAAUAUCAACUUUAUACUAGUUUUUGUUUGCUCUGGCUCAUCUAAAAGGCUUCCUGGCCAAAGAGAAGCAGCCUUCCGUAAGUCUACAAGUCAGGAAGGAGCUCGUGCCUGGACAGGAGGCAUUUGAUUGACAAAUUUUCCUGUGCCCAUCCUCCUCCCCACAAAAGCCAGUCCCUCCUCCUUUCAGGGUUUUUGAUUGGUGAAUUGAGCAGUGAGGAAUGGGAAGUGCAGCCAAGGAUGAGGCACCAGAGUCAUGAUUUCUUGUGACAUUUAGGGAAAUGGGAUGGUAGGAUAAGCUUUUCUAAGCAAUGGUUCCAAGGGCUCAGCAUUUAUCUGCCUCCUUUUCCAGCACAGCCAUUAACAGCUAUGACAUAAGAAACUUCAAGGCUGGGCAUUUAAGUGACAGACUAAGAGGACCCUGGUGGUGAACAUUCACGGUGGCCCCCACACAAAGUGCUUUACUGAGAAAAACAAAGACAAGAAAGCCAAUUAACUUUACAAGAUGAAAGAGGGAAGGAAAUCCUUUUUAAAAUUUCAAUUUACCACUGAGAGAACUGAAAAGAUUCAACUUCCAAGAAAACUAUUAAUUUUUACAGUGUUAGGAGGCUUUUUUAUAAACUAUAUUUUUAUGAUACCAUACUUGACGUUGGAAACAUUUCAUACCAGAGAGGAAAAUCUGAGCUUUUGCAAAGGUGUAGGAACAGUAUUUAAUAGUAUUUGUGAAAGUGCUGAAUUCAAGCCUACGAGAGUCUCUGAAAGCCUUUUAAAGAAAUCCUUUGCAAGGCCACCAAUUAAGUAUAGAGUUCCACUCCAUCCUUCCUUCAUGUGACCUCUGACUCUACUACAUGUGCUUCAUCCCUGUGCUGGUGCAAAGCCAGAUUGCUGGGGUCCAACACACAGCCCACAUAUCAACAAAGAUGCCUAGUACCCCUCCCUAUGGUGAACUACUCUACUGUCUCCUGCUGUGGGAUGGUCUGUAUGUCAAAUAUGUUGCUCUGAUUGGUCAAUAAAUAAAACACUGAUUGGCCAGUGGCCAGGCAGGAAGUAUAGGUGGGACUAACAGAGAAGAGAAUUGAGAGAACAGGAAGGCAGAGGGAGACACUGCCAGCCGCGCCAGGACAAGCAGCAUGUGAAGAUAUCGGUCCACCAUCUACCAGUAGCACAAACUGAGGGCCAAGCCUAUGUGCCACGUGGGGUUAUACAGGAGAUAAACAAUACAGUUUAUACCUUUAAAUCAUCGAUCCAGAGUGCCACUGGCAAAAUAAAGAAGUUGUGAAUUGCAAGGUGUGGAAUGAACAACCUCUCCAGCACUCAGACCGCGUGUGUCAGGAGACAGAAACACUGCAGUUGACCCACUUCUUCGUGGUUCACAAGUCUCACCUGCAUGGUUUGCUCCAGGCAACGCUUCCUGGUUUUAAAAGAUCUCUCCAUCCAUCUGACCUCCCUGGCCUGGGUAUCAAACAGGGCUCCUCUCAAGUGACCCAAGCUCGGGUCAAGUUGACAUACAACUAGCCAGCACCGUGAGUGGGGAAGAACAUUUUAUCAGUGGCAACAAAAUGUGAGAAGUCUCUAACGUGAAUCACAGCAAUCCAUAGGCUGGAGGAAAAUGAACACAGCCAGAGAGUAUCAUACUACCGGCUCUGAGGCAGAGAAACACAAGACCGGAUGUAACUGAGAACACCGAACACAGCCCCCUGCAGCCACCCAACUGGCUCAAGAGCAGUGUUUUCAUUCUAGACUCUGUGAAAAGGGAAAUUGGCUGUGAGGAAGAAAUACAUUUAAAUACAGACUCUUCAGUAAGCAAGCACGUCUAUGGAAAAGCUGAGAUGUUCUAUUUUAAACCUUAGCAGCCACCAUUAAGGAAGACCAAUUUUGGAUGUGCUUGCUAGAAUUCUCUCUUCAAUCUGUUCCAUGCAGUGAGCACCAGUUACCAGCUCUGCACUGUUUGGCAGCUCCCAUCAGAAUGCCACAGCAAGACGCUUACAUUAUCCCACAAGUAUCAAAACAAUAGGGUGUGUGGUCUUACUUAAUCAGUAGGAUAUGCCAAUUUGUGAACACACGGGGAACUCUUUCCUUCCUGGGUCUGUCCAUUCCCCUACCCUCCCCAAAAGAAGAAUGGAAAGGAUGUAAUGGAGUCCUUGAAUGAUCACAGCCCUGGAGAAUGACAAAAUGCUGGGGUGACUGCCAGUUGCUGAAUCUGGGCAUCCACAAAGAAUAUUCAGGUGAUGUCAUCUUCAUGUGCUAAAACGAACCAUUUAUUCUCUCCAAUCCCUUACUGCCCACAAGAGAGACCCACAUAACAGCAAGCUCACUCUAAUUUCACUCUCUUUUAUUUAUAAAUCAUGAUCUCACAAUUAUAAAACAAAGAUUGCAGAUAAGUUAUCAUUUUCAUAAACAAGCAAGCCAAGUAGGGUAAGCUGUCCUUCAUACAUCUCUCCAUCUAUUAAUGGCCACCCGAGCCUGGAAAUCCCUAUCCCCAGGCCAAUGCAUAUCUCACAAGACUGUGGAGUUUCCUGAAACUAUACCUCCAUAUAAGGCAAG